rnacentral:rRNA from 1 species
GACGAACGCUGGCGGCGUGCUUAACACAUGCAAGUCGAACGAAGAGCGAUGGAAGCUUGCUUCUAUCAAUCUUAGUGGCGAACGGGUGAGUAACGCGUAAUCAACCUGCCCUUCAGAGGGGGACAACAGUUGGAAACGACUGCUAAUACCGCAUACGAUUUAAUCUCGGCAUCGAGGAUAGAUGAAAGGUGGCCUCUACAUGUAAGCUAUCACUGAAGGAGGGGAUUGCGUCUGAUUAGCUAGUUGGAGGGGUAACGGCCCACCAAGGCGAUGAUCAGUAGCCGGUCUGAGAGGAUGAACGGCCACAUUGGGACUGAGACACGGCCCAGACUCCUACGGGAGGCAGCAGUGGGGAAUCUUCCGCAAUGGACGAAAGUCUGACGGAGCAACGCCGCGUGAGUGAUGACGGCCUUCGGGUUGUAAAGCUCUGUUAAUCGGGACGAAAGGCCUUCUUGCGAAUAGUGAGAAGGAUUGACGGUACCGGAAUAGAAAGCCGCU